rnacentral:rRNA from 1 species
CCUACGGGUGGCAGCAGUGGGGAAUAUUGGACAAUGGGCGAAAGCCUGAUCCAGCCAUGCCGCGUGUGUGAAGAAGGCCUUCGGGUUGUAAAGCACUUUCAGUGGGGAAGAAAGCCUUGGGGCUAAUACCCUCGAGGAAGGACAUCACCCACAGAAGAAGCACCGGCUAACUCCGUGCCAGCAGCCGCGGUAAUACGGAGGGUGCGAGCGUUAAUCGGAAUUACUGGGCGUAAAGCGCGCGUAGGCGGUCUGAUAAGCCGGUUGUGAAAGCCCCGGGCUCAACCUGGGAACGGCAUCCGGAACUGUCAGGCUAGAGUGCAGGAGAGGAAGGUAGAAGUCCCGGUGUAGCGGGGAACUGCGUAGAGAUCGGGAGGAAUACCAGUGGCGAAGGCGGCCUUCUGGACUGACACUGACGCUGAGGUGCGAAAGCGUGGGUAGCAAACAGGAUUAGAUACCCUGGUAGUC